rnacentral:rRNA from 1 species
GGUGAACGCUGGCGGCGUGCCUAAGACAUGCAAGUCGAGCGGGCCGCGGGGUUUUACUCCGUGGUCAGCGGCGGACGGGUGAGUAACGCGUGGGUGACCUACCCGGAAGAGGGGGACAACCCGGGGAAACUCGGGCUAAUCCCCCAUUUGGACCCGCCCCUUGGGGUGUGUCCAAAGGGCUUUUCCCGCUUCCGGAUGGGCCCGGGUCCCAUCAGCUAGUUGGUGGGGUAAUGGCCCAUCAAGGCCACGACGGGUAGCCGGCCUGAGAGGGUGGCCGGCCACAGGGGCACUGGGAAACGGGCCCCAGUCCUACGGGAGGCAGCAGUUAGGAAUCGGCCGCAAUGGGCGCAAGCCUGACGGAGCGACGCCGCUGGGAGGAAGAAGCCCUUCGGGGUGUAAACUCCUGAACCCGGGACGAAACCCCCGACGAGGGGACGGACGGUACCGGGGUAAUAGCGCCGGCCAACUCCGUG